AACGAACGCUGGCGGCAGGCUUAACACAUGCAAGUCGAACGCCCCGCAAGGGGAGUGGCAGACGGGUGAGUAACACGUGGGAAUCUACCCAUCCCUGCGGAACAACUCCGGGAAACUGGAGCUAAUACCGCAUACGCCCUACGGGGGAAAGAUUUAUCGGAGAUGGAUGAGCCCGCGUUGGAUUAGCUAGUUGGUGGGGUAAAGGCCUACCAAGGCGACGAUCCAUAGCUGGUCUGAGAGGAUGAUCAGCCACAUUGGGACUGAGACACGGCCCAAACUCCUACGGGAGGCAGCAGUGGGGAAUAUUGGACAAUGGGCGCAAGCCUGAUCCAGCCAUGCCGCGUGAGUGAUGAAGGCCCUAGGGUUGUAAAGCUCUUUCACCGGAGAAGAUAAUGACGGUAACCGGAGAAGAAGCCCCGGCUAACUUCGUGCCAGCCGCCGCCGAGUAAAC
rnacentral:rRNA from 1 species